rnacentral:rRNA from 1 species
UACGUAGGGCGCAGGCGUUGUCCGGAAUUAUUGGGCGUAAAGAGCUCGUAGGCGGUUUGUCGCGUCUGCUGUGAAAACCUCAGGCUCAACCUGGGGCUUGCAGCGGGUACGGGCAGACUAGAGUGCGGUAGGGGUGACUGGAAUUCCUGGUGUAGCGGUGGAAUGCGCAGAUAUCAGGAGGAACACCGAUGGCGAAGGCAGGUCACUGGGCCGCAACUGACGCUGAGGAGCGAAAGCAUGGGGAGCGAACAGG